rnacentral:rRNA from 1 species
CGGGUGAGUAACGCGUGGAGAACCUGCCGUAUACUGGGGGAUAACACUUAGAAAUAGGUGCUAAUACCGCAUAAGCGCACAGCUUCGCAUGAAGCAGUGUGAAAAACUCCGGUGGUAUACGAUGGAUCCGCGUCUGAUUAGCUGGUUGGCGGGGUAAAGGCCCACCAAGGCGACGAUCAGUAGCCGGCCUGAGAGGGCGGACGGCCACAUUGGGACUGAGACACGGCCCAGACUCCUACGGGAGGCAGCAG